UGGGGAAUUUUGGACAAUGGGCGAAAGCCUGACCCAGCAACGCCGCGUGAAGGAUGAAGUAUUUCGGUAUGUAAACUUCGAAAGAAUAGGAAGAAUAAAUGACGGUACUAUUUAUAAGGUCCGGCUAACUACGUGCCAGCAGCCGCGGUAAUACGUAGGGUGCAAGCGUUAAUCGGAAUUACUGGGCGUAAAGCGUGCGCAGGCGGUUGUGUAAGUCAGAUGUGAAAUCCCCGGGCUCAACCUGGGAAUUGCAUUUGAGACUGCACGGCUAGAGUGUGUCAGAGGGGGUAGAAUUCCACGUGUAGCAGUGAAAUGCGUAGAUAUGUGGAGGAAUACCGAUGGCGAAGGCAGCCCCCUGGGAUAACACUGACGCUCAUGCACGAAAGCGUGGGGAGCAAACAGGAUUAGAUACCCUGGUAGUCCCUGAGCGGGCUGGCAAGGCGCAU
rnacentral:rRNA from 1 species